rnacentral:rRNA from 1 species
GAUGAACGCUGGCGGCGUGCCUAAUACAUGCAAGUCGAGCGAACGGACGAGAAGCUUGCUUCUCUGAUGUUAGCGGCGGACGGGUGAGUAACACGUGGAUAACCUACCUAUAAGACUGGGAUAACUUCGGGAAACCGGAGCUAAUACCGGAUAAUAUUUUGAACCGCAUGGUUCAAAAGUGAAAGACGGUCUUGCUGUCACUUAUAGAUGGAUCCGCGCUGCAUUAGCUAGUUGGUAAGGUAACGGCUUACCAAGGCAACGAUGCAUAGCCGACCUGAGAGGGUGAUCGACCACCAUGGAACUGAGACACGGUCCAGACUACUACGGGAGGCAGCAGAAGGGAAUCUGCCGCAAUAGGCGAAAGCCUGACGGAGCAACGCCGCGUGAGUUAUGAAGGUCUUCGGAUCGUAAAACUCUGUUAUUAGGGAAGAACAUAUGUGUAAGUAACUGUGCACAUCUUGACGGUACCUAAUCAGAAAGCCACGGCUAACUACGUG